rnacentral:rRNA from 1 species
AUUGAACGCUGGCGGCAGGCCUAACACAUGCAAGUCGAACGAGCGGCGGACGGGUGAGUAAUGUCUGGGAAUCUGCCCGAUGGAGGGGGAUAACUACUGGAAACGGUAGCUAAUACCGCAUACCAUCGGAUGUGCCCAUAUGGGAUUAGCUAGUAGGUGGGGUAACGGCUCACCUAGGCGACGAUCCCUAGCUGGUCUGAGAGGAUGACCAGCCACACGGGAACUGAGACACGGUCCAGACUCCUACGGGAGGCAGCAGUGGGGAAUAUGGCACAAUGGGAGCAAGCCUGAUGCAGCCAUGCCGCGUGUAUGAAGAAGGCCUUCGGGUUGUAAAGUACUUGCAGUGAGGAGGCGUUACUCACAGAAGAAGCACCGGCUAACUCCGUGCCAGCAGCCGCGGUAAUAC